rnacentral:rRNA from 1 species
UUGAACGCUGGCGGCAGGCCUAACACCUGCCAGUCGAACGGUAACAGGAAGCAGCUUGCUGCUUUGCUGACGAGUGGCGGACGGGUGAGUAAUGUCUGGGAAACUGCCUGAUGGAGGGGGAUAACUACUGGAAACGGUAGCUAAUACCGCAUAACGUCGCAAGACCAAAGAGGGGGACCUUCGGGCCUCUUGCCAUCGGAUGUGCCCAGAUGGGAUUAGCUAGUAGGUGGGGUAACGGCUCACCUAGGCGACGAUCCCUAGCUGGUCUGAGAGGAUGACCAGCCACACUGGAACUGAGACACGGUCCAGACUCCUACGGGAGGCAGCAGUGGGGAAUAUUGCACAAUGGGCGCAAGCCUGAUGCAGCCAUGCCGCGUGUAUGAAGAAGGCCUUCGGGUUGUAAAGUACUUUCAGCGGGGAGGAAGGGAGUAAAGUUAAUACCUUUGCUCAUUGACGUUACCCGCAGAAGAAGCACCGGCUAACUCCGUG